rnacentral:rRNA from 1 species
UAGGGAAUAUUGGUCAAUGGAUGGAAGUCUGAACCAGCCAUGCCGCGUGCAGGAAGAAGGCCUUCUGGGUUGUAAACUGCUUUUGCCAGGGGCUAAAAGGCCCAUGCGUGGGAAAUUGAAAGUACCUGGUGAAUAAGCCACGGCUAACUACGUGCCAGCAGCCGCGGUAAUACGUAGGUGGCAAGCGUUGUCCGGAUUUAUGGGUUUAAAGGGUGCGUAGGCGGCUUAUUAAGUCAGUGGUGAAAUAUCGCAGCUUAACUGUGAGGGUGCCAUUGAUACUGAUGAGCUUGAGUACAGAUGAGGUAGGCGGAAUUGACGGUGUAGCGGUGAAAUGCAUAGAUAUCGUCAAGAACACCUAUAGCGAAGGCAGCUUACUAAGCUGUAACUGACGCUGAGGCACGAAAGUGUGGGGAUCAAACAGGAUUAGAUACCCUGGUAGUCCACACUGUAAACGUUGAUAACUCGCUGUUUGCGAU